UACGUAGGGCGCAAACGUUGUUCGGAAUUACUGGGCGUAAAGCGCGUGUAGGCGGCAGGGCAUGUCGGAUGUGAAAUCCCGUGGCUCAACCACGGAAGUGCACCCGAAACUGCCCAGCUUGAGUCUCGGAGAGGAAGGCGGAAUGCUUGGUGUAGAGGUGAAAUGCGUAGAUAUCAGGAGGAACACCGGUGGUGUAGACGGCUCUCUGGACCGUAACUGACGCUGAGACACGAAAGCGUGGGUAGCAAACAGG
rnacentral:rRNA from 1 species